ACAUCAUUAUCAAUGGCAAAUAAGUAAAAAAAAAUUUUUUUUCUUUGGUGUUAUGUUAUAGGACUUCUCUGUUUCUCUUCUAAUAAUAAUUAUUUCUCGCUGGUGGCAGUAAGGACUGGCGUGAAUAAGAGUAGGCUUUGUACAUGAGAGCAAAACUACGUUCGGCCAGGCCAGUGGUAAAUGGGCGUAGGGACGGAAUAAUUGGAUCAAGACUGGGGAGGAGAAAAUCAACUCUCCACAUUUCACUGCUCAUAAAAUGUUUGGUUUGCAUUCGCGAGCGCAGAUGGUCCUCAGUGGUAGGUCUGACUGUAUCGUCGAACUACCAUACAUUUACAUACCUGCUGCAUCUAUGACUUUUAAACUCAAAAAAUUUCAAGGACUGAUGUAAUUAUUUUUGAACUCAAAAAUUUUGUCAUGUUUAGAAGUUCUGCAAAUAUAUUGAAAGACAAUUUGAAUGUGAAAAUUGUUAAAACAGAAUAGGUUGUCGCUAGUCAGUGUAAAUGUAUGUAUCAAUCAGGGGCAAACACACAGAUAAUAUCUUUCCCCCUCCCCCCCUGAAGUUAUUUUAUGUGUUUGUUUCUGGUGUACAGACAUUAGAAAGACACAUUUAUUAAUAAAUUUCCUGACAUGUAAUGUAAAAUAUGUAGCAAAUUAUGUUGGACAGCAUCCACCUCAAACAAAUUAAUAAACAGUACAAAUUAUUAUGCACUUUAAAGCUGAAGCUGAUAAAAUGGCCCUUGAGUUGUUAAGUAUAUUCCAAGCACUUUCAAGGUGUGUGGGAGUCCUGAACUCAGGUAAGGACAAAGAUUGUUUUUCAGAUUAUAUUGUAAUGUUAUAUAUGGUAUAUAAUGGUAUAUUAUAUUGUAAUAUUAAUAUUGUAAUGGUAAAAAUUUAUUAAUUUAAAUAUGAAAUUUGUUUGAGUGAUGAAUAAGAAAUUAAUUAAAGAUUUGUGCUUGGGGGGGUGGAACCCCUAACCCCCCCUCCCCUGUCUAAGCCCCUGAUCUUGAGAAGUUUUCAAAUUGUGUGGUUUUUUUUUUGAAGCUUUGCUCACUAUGAGCACCCAAGUAGGACUGCCCUUUAUAAUUACAGUUUUACAUUGCAUAGGAAUAUAUAUUAACAUUUUAUUUUUUUUACUUUUAAAGUGAAACUUCUUUACUGAGAAGGCUGCAAUUUUCAAGUUACUUAAAUGACACUCGCAUUAGGAAAAUACCUGCGUAGUUAGAUACGUAGUGGGGGAACCGGUAGGGCGUGAGAGUGCGUCAGCAGCGACGCCUGCGCUAGCAGUCGAAUGGGAAUAUGGCAAAAGGAGGGGAGGAUAUGUACGUAGCGUAGCAUGCUGUAUGCUAGUUGUAAUGGCUGGAAGGGGAAAGGUAGAAAUGAUGCAGCAGUGGUGCUAUUGAAGUAUCGCAACGCUGCUUGUGUUUGUCUACUCCUCAAUUUUCGUAAUUGCUUACGAUUAAUGCUACCAUUUUUUUUUUUUGAGAUCAUUCUUGCAUCCCUACUAUUCUCAGUUACCGUAUUACCUCUUGUUCAAUCAAAAGUUUCGCUUCUGUCACGUAGACUCCAUGCACAGACCUAUCAUUUUAAUCUCAUGUACAUACUUCCUUUUUUCAGUAAACUGGAUUUUAAAAAGUAACUAGGUACUGUGGAAACAAAAGACAGUUAAUAGAUAGAUAGAUAUUUUUUUACAGCUGCGUUUAUUUUGUGGAUGUGCGGUGGUAAUUCUUCAGCUUUUUUUUCCUUCUGUUAUAGAUUUUGCUAGUUAUUACUCCGUGUGAAUUUUCGUAAUAUGCCAUAUUUUGUCGAGUAUCUCGAAAAAUAAGAAAUUCGAGCCCCUGGGAAUCAUGCAACCCUUCCCCUUGCCCUGGACGGGCCCUUGUGUGAAUCCUACCUAUCUGUAGCAUUUCAUCUUAUUUUUACUUUAUUUUUAUUUGACAAAAGGGGUGAAAUGCUGCAGGUAGACGGGUGUGUGCACCAAGAUUGCCUAAAACACAGUAUGUCAGAUUUGCGAUAACCUUGGGUUAGUUUGUACAACGGCACACAUACGGAGAGACCCGAACCAAAUAUCGUAGUAGAAAACUACAAUAUUUGCUACGACAGUGUUGAUCUCUUUGAGCCAUACAAUCAAUAGAGGCCAAAUGAUUGGCUGGAUGGCUGCAGUGAUAGCCAUGUUUAUAUUCUAAAUACGUUAAAAUUGUUUCAAGUACAAGAACAUCUUUUUUAUAAUAUAACUUUGUCGUUUAUUUUUAUUAUAUAUAAAAAUUCUGCUCGUGCUAUGAUCUCGAAGGAUAAUCUAUUUUUUAAAAUGUAUUAAUAUUUCGUACCCUUGAAAUGCAAUCUCAUUGGUUAUCGGUUGCCAUUUGUUAUGUUUCAGGAGUUGUUUACACGAUCCUUCUCCGUUACCGUGCCGUCGUAGAACGGACAUAAGUUAUUUCUUUGUUAGUAGUAUGAUUAUCAUUUUGUAAAAACGAUCUAAUCCGGCACGUUAUGGACCAAGGCCGUGCCGAAUGAGCGAUUUUGCAGCAAUAGCGAACACCAAUGUACAUGUAGUUUCAACGGUAAAACCAAAGAAACUUUGAAAAAUAAUCUGCUACGUUUAUGUAAUCGAAGAGUUUGUUCGUUAAGAGGUUUUUUUUCCAUUCAAAUGUUGGCCGAUUUGUUAGUGAAACAUUGAUACAUAAUUUAUUUUUUAGCAGUAUGUUCAAAUGAAUCGAUAUUUUUGGAGGGCGUAAAUAACGUCUAUCAUCGCCAAAACGUGGCCAGCACGAAGUACAUUUUUAGAAACCUAUUGCAAAAUAAUCAAUGUUUUAUUCUUAAAAAUAAUUUUUAAUAGCAAUAUGUCUUCCAUAUUGAAAAAUACCACAGAAGGGCAUAGACAUAGAACAAUAAGGCACUGUUUGAAUGCAAGGGAGAUUAUACUAGUGAGCGUGGGUGGAGUAUUAUACCAGAUAAUCGAUCGGUGCCGGAUUACAGAAUAAUCCCAACGUAAUAGUGUUGGAUGAAAGGGCGUCGACUGCAUUACGAAUAUGUCUUAUUUUAUAUAGUAAUUUUCACUUGAUUUACAAGUUUCUAUGUAUUCAAGACGGAAUUUUAAAAACGCGCCUGAGUUUGUUAAAUAAUCAGUUUUUUUUAACUACUUCCUCCCAGAAAAAAAGGGCCACAAUAAUAAAUCAAUACAAAUAUUAGUCAUACUUUUGAACGUUUCUCCAACAAUACUUAUUUUUUCACUCAUCCAUGUAUUAUUUCGCGCCACCAAUACAAAUCCUAGAUAGGUACUGUGUUCUGGCCUCUGACUGGCUAGUCACGAUCAACAUUAAAGUUAAUUCUACUAGUAGAACUAACCUUAACAACAUCAAACGCAUGGAUUAUUUUACAAAAAAAAAAAAAAAAAUUCAAGUACCCUUUGAAUUUAAUGAACUGUCGUAAGCAUUUGUAUCGUGUGUCUUUUGAAUAAACGUCAUUCAGCACACUUUUGCCUACACUGCCCUUCAAGGGAAGCCUUCAUUUCACAGACGAAAGAGCCACACCCGAAGUACCCCGAAGUUCAUGCUCGCUUUUUUGAUUUUACAGUAUCUUUAAUGUAGCUAUCCUAACCAAAUCAACCGUCCACAAUGUUUUAAAGUAUUUAUAAUGUAGCUAACGUAACCUAAUUGACCAUUAGUUAUCAUGAGUUACAAUGAACAAAAACAAAAAAAACCGAAGAUGCACGAUCGGGCGUUUGGCUCUCCCGCCUGUGAAAAUAAUGGCUUCCCGCCCUUCAAGGCUUCCUUCCAAGGAGUAUGGUCCCUUCACACACUUCGCUAUGCGUGCGUGUCUGGCUGCAAGUCUGGCUGCAGCGCGCAAGCUAGGGAAAAAAAAAAAAAAAAUGUUAUCGAACUCCUGCGGCACGUGCCGCUACAGUGUUUCCAUGGCAACCCGUCGACCAAUACCAACAGGUUCAUAAAUAUAUAUAGUUAAAUUGGGCAUCGGACAGCGGCCUUUUAUGUAAAUAUUUUUACCUCCGGCGAGUGAUGUGGUGGCAUGGCUCAAAGUAAUGUAGGCUCUUUUUGUCAAAUGUUCAACGAUGAUACCUGGUUUUGGACUAUUUAUGGCAUCAGGCUACAGCUGCAACAGUCCCCAACUGUCAGGACUGAUGGUGCUGCUGUGUGUAGGCGGAGUGGUCGUCUGUCAGCUGACGUGCCCAGAAAUGACGGUGCGGGGAGUGCGUGGGAGGCGGCACAGGGCGAGACCCUGGGGACGGCCUGGACCGGUGCGGGGGUGUGCCGGGGGGCAGACCUCUG